rnacentral:rRNA from 1 species
GACGAACGCUUGCGGCGUGCUUAACACAUGCAAGUCGAACGGAAAGGCCCUGCUUUUGUGGGGUGCUCGAGUGGCGAACGGGUGAGUAACACGUGAGUAACCUGCCCUUGACUUUGGGAUAACUUCAGGAAACUGGGGCUAAUACCGGAUAGGAGCUCCUGCUGCAUGGUGGGGGUUGGAAAGUUUCGGCGGUUGGGGAUGGACUCGCGGCUUAUCAGCUUGUUGGUGGGGUAGUGGCUUACCAAGGCUUUGACGGGUAGCCGGCCUGAGAGGGUGACCGGCCACAUUGGGACUGAGAUACGGCCCAGACUCCUACGGGAGGCAGCAGUGGGGAAUAUUGCACAAUGGGCGGAAGCCUGAUGCAGCAACGCCGCGUGCGGGAUGACGGCCUUCGGGUUGUAAACCGCUUUCGCCUGUGACGAAGCGUGAGUGACGGUAAUGGGUAAAGAAGCACCGGCUAACUACGUGCCAGCAGCCGCGGUGAUACGUAGGGUGCGAGCGUUGUCCGGAUUUAUUGGGCGUAAAGGGCUCGUAGGUGGUUGAUCGCGUCGGAAGUGUAAUCUUGGGGCUUAACCCUAAGCGUGCUUUCGAUACGGGUUGACUUGAGGAAGGUAGGGGAGAAUGGAAUUCCUGGUGGAGCGGUGGAAUGCGCAGAUAUCAGGAGGAACACCAGUGGCGAAGGCGGUUCUCUGGGCCUUUCCUGACGCUGAGGAGCGAAAGCGUGGGGAGCGAACAGGCUUAGAUACCCUGGUAGUCCACGCUGUAAACGGUGGGUACUAGGUGUGGGGUCCAUUCCACGGGUUCCGUGCCGUAGCUAACGCUUUAAGUACCCCGCCUGGGGAGUACGGCCGCAAGGCUAAAACUCAAAGGAAUUGACGGGGCCCCGCACAAGCGGCGGAGCAUGCGGAUUAAUUCGAUGCAACGCGUAGAACCUUACCUGGGUUUGACAUGGAUCGGGAGUGCUCAGAGAUGGGUGUGCCUCUUUUGGGGUCGGUUCACAGGUGGUGCAUGGCUGUCGUCAGCUCGUGUCGUGAGAUGUUGGGUUAAGUCCCGCAACGAGCGCAACCCUUGUUCACUGUUGCCAGCACGUUAUGGUGGGGACUCAGUGGAGACCGCCGGGGUCAACUCGGAGGAAGGUGGGGAUGACGUCAAGUCAUCAUGCCCCUUAUGUCCAGGGCUUCACGCAUGCUACAAUGGCUGGUACAGAGAGUGGCGAGCCUGUGAGGGUGAGCGAAUCUCGGAAAGCCGGCCUCAGUUCGGAUUGGGGUCUGCAACUCGACCUCAUGAAGUCGGAGUCGCUAGUAAUCGCAGAUCAGCAACGCUGCGGUGAAUACGUUCCCGGGGCU